GCUGGGCAUGGAGUCUCAUGCCUGUAAUCGCAGCGGCUUGGGAGGCUGAGGCAGGAGGAUCGUGACUUCAAAGCCAGCCUCAGCAAAAGCAAGACUCUAAGCAAUUCAGUGAGACCCUGUCUCAG
rnacentral:sRNA from 1 species